CUUCAAUGCUAUUAAAUAAGCGAGUUCAAUUUUGUUAUUAUAUUCUAAUUACUUAGCUUCUUUUGUUCUGUUGGUUGCUCAUUGGUUUUCUAACUAAGAUGUUGCAAUCCAGAAGAAUUGUUACGACGUUACCAAAUAUGCACUUGAGAGUUAUGUAGAUGUUACAGUCACCGUAGAAUUGACGGUGGAAAAUGGAGCGAUUGGCACCGGAACGGACAACCAAUGCUUUGUGAAAAUAUUAGGCUGAAGUGUGAUAAGUCACCGACGUCGGCGUGUGAACUCAAAUAAGUCUCCUUUUGCUUCUCCAAUUUUAACUCAUAAGUUGAAAGUUAGUUUGUGGAUUUUCCUGUAAACAACAAUUAUGUUUCUAUAUGAUGAUGCAGAGAGAACUACUUCUAGGCGGUGGAGAAGAGUCCACAAUCCGCAGACACAUUUUGCAGAGAAUGGGAAGCAAACAAUCUUGCCUCUAGGGAGGGUGGUAAAACAACAGCUGGCCAAAUUCUUAUUGCAAUUUUGAGGUUUCUCAAUUUGUUGUUCUUCAAUUUCUAUCAAUGGGGUAAAACCCUACUAUGAUGACAUAUUUUUCUUAGUAUGUUCUUCUGCACGAGUUACUAUCAUAUGGGGCCUUCCUACAAGUGAGGAGCUUAGUAAACAAGAGAUGAAUUAUGGAGAUUUUGAUCUGUUUGUACUACAUGCAGGGGUUCCAUCUGUUGACGUGUAUUACAAAAAAGGGUUGACCUAUGUCAUCAGUCAAACGAUGAUGAUGACUAUGAAGGAAGUUUUUAUGAGGAACCUUUGCUGGGAAAAUCUCCAAAUGAAGCAAAUUUAACAAACAGGAAUAGACAUAGAAAGUGUUUUCCUAUUCAUUUUUCUCGUCUGGGGCUCCGUCAAAAGAUUAUGAUUUUGGUACAGAAAGAUUUUAUUCUCAUGUAGCUCUGAUUGUUGUCUUAUCCAUUUGUCCUUAAUUUUGACACAUAACCUUCACUAAGUAUUUCAUUCAAAUACAAUGACUUUCAUAUGAUUCGCCAGGUUAUGUUACUAA